CCAGAGGGUUUAGACCCUCGGCAUACUGCUCUCNAACACGCGGACAAUCUGCCCUAAGGUGGGGAAUAAUCUCGGGAAACUGAGCAUAAUACCCCAUAGAUCAUGGAUGCUGGAAUGCUCCAUGGUCAAAAGCUCCGGCGCCUUAGGAUGAGUCUGCGGCCUAUCAGGUCGUAGUGGGUGUAACGGACCCACUAGCCAACGACGGGUACGGGCGUUGGGAGACNUCGCCCGGAGAUGGAUUCUGAGACACGAAUCCAGGCCCUACGGGGCGCAGCAGUCGCGAAAACUUGUCAAUGGGGGAAACCCCGAACAGGGGAGUCCAAGUGCUUGCACUUUGUGUAAGCUGUUCGGUUGCCUAAAAAGCAGCCGAAGGAAGGGCUGGGUAAGACAGGUGCCAGCCGCCNCGNUAAUACCUGCAGCCCGAGUGGUGAUCGAUUUUAUUGAGCCUAAAGCGUCCGUAGCCGGACUAGUANCCCUUGGGUAAAUUGGGCAGC
rnacentral:rRNA from 1 species